UACGAGGAGGCGUAGCGUUGUUCGGAAUCACUGGGCGUAAGCGCACGUAGGCGGAUUUUAAGUCAGGGGUGAAAUCCCGAGCUCAACCUCGGAACUGCCUUUGAUACUGGAGAUCUUGAGUCCGGAAGAGGUAAGUGGAACUGCGAGUGUAGAGGUGAAAUUCGUAGAUAUUCGCAAGAACACCAGUGGCGAAGGCGGCUUACUGGUCCGGAACUGACGCUGAGGUGCGAAAGCGUGGGAGCAAACAGGG
rnacentral:rRNA from 1 species